rnacentral:rRNA from 1 species
GACGAACGCUGGCGGCGUGCCUAAUACAUGCAAGUUGAGCGCUGAAGGUUGGUACUUGUACCUACUGGAUGAGCAGCGAACGGGUGAGUAACGCGUGGGGAAUCUGCCUUUGAGCGGGGGACAACAUUUGGAAACGAAUGCUAAUACCGCAUAAAAACUUUAAACACAAGUUUUAAGUUUGAAAGAUGCAAUUGCAUCACCCAAUGAUGAUCCCGCGUUGUAUUAGCUAGUUGGUGAGGUAAAGGCUCACCAAGGCGAUGAUACAUAGCCGACCUGAGAGGGUGAUCGGCCCCAUUGGGACUGAGACACGGCCCAAACUCCUACGGGAAGCAGCAGUAGGGAAUCUUCGGCAAUGGACGAAAGUCUGGCCGAGCAACGCCGCGUGAGUGAAGAAGGUUUUCGGAUCGUAAAACUCUGUUGGUAGGGAAGAACGAUGGUGAGAGUGGAAAGCUCAUCAAGUGACGGUAACUACCCAGAAAGGGACGGCUAACUACGUG